GGGAAGUGGGUUCCUUUGGACAAGAAAAACGUUCUAUGUUCUCUCUGUUUGUCACUGUGCUUAGUCUAAACAAAAUUCAUGUAUAUAUAUCCCUGGCAAGAAAAAAUUCCCUGAGGAUGGCGGGUGUGGAGAUAAUAACCACUAGGACAGUAUUCCAUUUUCUGGCCUCUGGGAGAAAAUGUUUAUUUAUUUUAUGUUGAGGGGACCAAGACAGUCUGAACUUUAAAGACUGCUGUAAUUUACUAGAGGAGGAGGCAAAGAUUUAGCCACAAGCAAUUGGUGGGAAACUAGGCCUCAAAGCAGAAAAUGAAAAGUCGAUGGGGGAAGAUUUUUAAAUAAAUGGGUCAGAGGGACGGAGCGGAGAUGAGGCGAUCAAUCUUAGCCCCCUGACAGCUCCCUCCGAUUGCAUCAAAGAAUUCGGCUCUUUGGGAAAGCAGAAGGGGACAGCCGAAAUUCCACAUCCCUUAAAAAGGCCUGAGGGAGGGGGUGGCAAAAGAGAAAGGUGAUUCUGGGAGAGCCAGGAAACAGAUGGGAAAUGGGGACAGAGGGAAGGCGCUGAGUUGGGUGGAAAGUUUGCCCGGAGAACUCCCACGGCUCGGGCCUCCCCUCCCCCUCCCCGCUCCCUGUCGCCCAGCCGGGAGGAGAAGGCUGCUUAGCAAGGAAAUGGCAUCUCAGCCUGGAGCUGGAGCUAGAAACUUUCUGUCAGUGUAACAUCCGCGUGGGUGGUGACCCAAUGGUGGUUGGGCUUCGGGUCACGUGACGACUUCUUUGUAGCUCCGGAAGCAGACUGUGAAGUUUGGUGGCUUAGAAGAAACAGAGAACGAGAGGGGGAACUACCAAGAGUUGGGGGAUGACCCACGGAGACGGAAGGUGUGUUAAUUUGGGCGCUUCUUGGAUUCUACCCUGAGGAGGAGGCGCGUGGUGAGAGGAGAGAUCUUGAUCUGGCGCUCGCUGAGGUUCAGCAGGUUGGCCAUCUCCACGCGGCGCGGCCGGCACAGGUAGCGGUUGAAGUGAAACUCCU